CGAGUAGGCGGUGGAGUAAGUCUGGGGUGGAAUCCUACGGCUUAACCGUAGAACUGCCUUAGAAACUGCUUUACUUGAGUCAGUGAGGGGAGGGCGGAAUUCCUGGUGUAGCGGUGAAAUGCGUAGAUAUCAGGAGGAAGGCCUGUGGCGAAGGCGGCCCUCUGGCACUGUACUGACGCUGAGGCGCGAAAGCGUGGGUAACAAACAGGAUUAGAUACCCUGGUAGUCCACGCCCUAAACGGUGGGCAUUAGGUGUAGGGCUCGUAAGGGUUCUGUGCCGAAGGGAAACCAUUAAAUGCCCCGCCUGGGGAGUACGGCCGCAAGGUUGAA
rnacentral:rRNA from 1 species